UCACUGUUACUGGCAUGGAAUAGGUCCUCAACAAUUAUUGUUGGGAUAAAUGAAUCAACUGCGCAUCUUAUUAUACAUACUAAGCAAUUUUGAUACCAGGGAUCUUCAAGUGUACAAUUUUACUAAAACGCACAGGUGAAUUCUUGUCACCGCCCAUGCCACCAGCUUUUACUAAAUCAUUGCCCCACAUCUGGGGGCCCCUAUCCGAUGGGGAGAAACACCACAAUAACCAAGCAGAUGGCGAUCAACAAAAUCAACGAAAUCUCCUUUGAAGUCAGAAGUAAACUGUGAAGAAUUUGCUCAGUACAAAACCCUGUACCUGGAAUGCCUGAGUAGCUCAGUGGUUGAGCAUCUUCCUUUGGCUCAGGGCAUGAUCCCAGGGUCCUGGGAUCGAGUCCCACAUUGGGCUCCCCACAAGGAGCCUGCUUCUCCCUCUGCCUCUCUCUCUCUC